AGAGUUUGAUUAUGGCUCAGGAUGAACGCUGGCGGCGUGCUUAACACAUGCAAGUCGAGCGAAGCGAUUUAAGUGAAGUUUUCGGAUGGAUCUUAGAUUGACUGAGCGGCGGACGGGUGAGUAACGCGUGGAUAACCUGCCUCACACAGGGGGAUAACAGUUAGAAAUGACUGCUAAUACCGCAUAAGCGCACGGUACCGCAUGGUACAGUGUGAAAAACUCCGGUGGUGUGAGAUGGAUCCGCGUCUGAUUAGGUAGUUGGUGAGGUAACGGCCCACCAAGCCGACGAUCAGUAGCCGACCUGAGAGGGUGACCGGCCACAUUGGGACUGAGACACGGCCCAA
rnacentral:rRNA from 1 species